rnacentral:rRNA from 1 species
AAUAGAUACCCGGGUAGUCCACGCCGUAAACGAUGGAUACUAGCUGUUCGUCCGCCUCGGCGGAUGAGUGGCUAAGCGAAAGUGAUAAGUAUCCCACCUGGGGAGUACGAACGCAAGUUUGAAACUCAAAGGAAUUGACGGGGGCCCGCACAAGCGGUGGAGCAUGUGGUUUAAUUCGAUGAUACGCGAGGAACCUUACCAAGGCUUAAAUGUAGAUUGACAGGACUGGAAACAGUUUUUUCUUCGGACAAUUUACAAGGUGCUGCAUGGUUGUCGUCAGCUCGUGCCGUGAGGUGUCAGGUUAAGUCCUAUAACGAGCGCAACCCCUGUUGUUAGUUGCCAGCGAGUGAUGUCGGGAACUCUAACAAGACUGCCAGUGUAAACUGUGAGGAAGGUGGGGAUGACGUCAAAUCAUCACGGCCCUUACGCCUUGGGCUACACACGUGCUACAAUGGCCGGUACAGAGAGCAGCCACUGCGCGAGCAGGAGCGAAUCUAUAAAACCGGUCACAGUUCGGAUCGGAGU